GGAUGUGUGAGCCAUCGUAGCUACAAAAUCUGCCACAUCACUGAUUUCCAGGGUUGGUUGAGCUUAUCUGGCUCACUGGGCAGGUGAUCCUCACUGCUCCAUGUGCAUCCCUUCCAAAAUUUCAUAUCCAGUUUGUUGAAGGAGACAAUUUUCCCUGAUAGAGGAGGAUUGUUUUUCAGAAGG
rnacentral:snRNA from 1 species